AUGGGGAGCUCCCCUCAGCUUCCCGCCCUCACAGCAGAGCUCCCCUCAGCGCCCCGCUCCUACUCCCUCACGGCGGAGCCCGCCUCAGUUUCCCGCCCUCGCGGUGGAGCUCCUCUCAGCGCCCCUCGCCACCACGGCAGCGGGGCGGGCCGCCUCCGCUCGGCAGCGCAGCUGCGGCCGGGGUUGGGGGGGAACGGGUGGCGAGGCUCGAGGGCAGCGGGUCCCUCGGCGUGCGGCAGAGGGCGCCCCGCGUUCCGCCAGAGCAGGGCCGGGAGGAGCCUCCGGCGCGGCGCGGCCGGGGAGAGAGAGGGAGAGGGAGGGACGGAGCUGCCACGUCCUCCGCGCCGAGCGGCGAGGGAAGCCAGCCCGCGCCUCAGCCCCACGUGUGGCGGAGCGGGGAAGUUGCCGGCGGCCGGCUCGGACUCUGCCCCUCUCCCCCCGCCGCCGCCGCCCGUCUUUUACCGGGAAACCAAGGAAGUCAAAGAGAGAAGGAGUUUAUGGACAUAUCUGUUACUUCAGGGCUGUGGCGUUUCUAUGACUUCCAUCUCCUACGCAGUUACAAGCUCUGCAGGAAAGCGAUCCACCACUUGUGUUGAAAACUUUUAGGUUUCCUGUUUCUCUGAGCAAGCAGGUUUCUGGCUGAGCCAGUGAACUUUUACUGCUGGGCCACCACUCCGUACUUUUCAUCACCCUGGAAAAUUUGUGGUCUCCCAGUUCCUGACCACCUUGUGUAGGUGGUGAUCUCUUCCCUCCAGACUCAAUGCCAGCACUGUUGCGGCAUCGGUUUUGUGCAAGUCCCUUUGAAUUCUGCUGUCAGUUGUAUUUCUUGUGAAUAAAGUGUUGCUGUUACAGAAUUCCA
rnacentral:lncRNA from 1 species